UAUCAACCUCUCCAAAUAAGGACUUGAAACAGUUGUUGAAUAUUUUCUGAGUAAUUAUUUUUACAAUUUCAUCAUGGCCUGUCCCAUUGGGGAGAGGACAGAUAAAUAAGUGAAGUCUGAAAAGGUAUCAAGCAGACCAUUAGAUCAUGAGGAAAACAGACUUUCCUACUGCUCUAUCUGCAGGUCAGCUUCCUCUCUCUCUCAUAGCAACAAAAACCUGGCUACCUCUGAAGUGGAUGUGUUAAAUGGGAGGGAUUUCACAUCAUCUCGUCUCUUCAUCUUAUAUGCACAAAAUGCCACAGUUCUGCUCAGAAUAUGUUUUUCUGCAACAACCAUUUUGUGUGUGAUACUAAUCAAUUUGCUAUUAAUGACCACAGCUACUCAAUAAAUA
rnacentral:lncRNA from 1 species